rnacentral:tRNA from 2 species
GCCUGGGUAGCUCAGUUGGUAGAGCAUUCGCCUGAAGAGCGAAGGGUCCCCAGUUCGAUCCUGGGCCCAGGCA